rnacentral:tRNA from 1 species
GUCCCGGUAGCUCAGCUGGAUAGAGCAACGCCCUUCUAAGGCGUCGGUCGGGGGUUCGAAUCCCUCCCGGGACGCCA